rnacentral:rRNA from 1 species
AACGAACGCUGGCGGCGUGCUUAACACAUGCAAGUCGAACGAACUUUUGUAGGCAGAAGCCUCGGCUAUAGAUUACUAAUGAGAGUGGCCCACGUGUGACUAACUCGUUCGCAACCUCUCUUUGACAUAGGGAUAGCGCCGGGCAGGCGGAAGUAUUACCGCCUUAAAUCGUAGCCACACAUGAUUUACCGGUUAAAGAUUUAUCGGUCAUAGAUGGGCUCGCGUCUGAUUAGCUAGUUGGUGAGGUAACAGCCCACCAAGGCGACGAUCAGUAGCCGGUCUGAGAGGAUGAACGGCCACAUUGGAACUGAGACACGGUCCAAACUCCUACGGGAGGCAGCAGUGGGGAAUAUUGCGCAAUGGGGGAAAGCCUGACGCAGCGACGCCGCGUGAAUGAAGAAGGUAUUAGUAUUGUAAAAUUCUGUCACAUGGGAAGAUAAUGACAGUACCAUGGGAAAAAGCCCCGGCUAAAUACGUG